CAGAGAAUAGUUAAAGUAAGAAUCCUGGCUUUGGGAGUCAGGGGUGUGAGUUAAAGUCUCUCUUCUCUGG
rnacentral:tRNA from 1 species